rnacentral:lncRNA from 1 species
CGGCGCGAGCUGGACUACCGCGGUCGCUGUUGGUGGCGCCGCCGGGCCUGCGACUAGGUGGCAUCCUUCAGACACUAUAGGCCGUCUCUGCACACGUGAUGCGGGGCUCGGUCACGUUGCCCCCUGGAAGCUUGAGGAUGCGCCAGGUUUGACUCUGCAGGGCGUACGCGCUUUAGGGAUGGAAGGAAGAGGAACGCGGCAGGAAGGCGAGCCCCAAGGUGGAGAAUCGCCUGGGCGCGCAGGCUGCGGCGGCUUCGCACAGCCGCCCUGGGCGCUGCACGGGUCCGCGCGCACCCUGCUGCGCACCCACUCGCGGCCAGCUCCCUACAGAGGAGUGGAGUGACUGCUCGACUACCACCCCUCUUUUAGUGUGAGCGUCUGGAGUCCUGACCGCCCCAGCCAGCCCAGCUACGAUGAACUGUCUAAGAGGAUGUGGCAAGACCCAGAAGUAUGGGUGACCUUAUGUCAGAGGAAGUGGCUUUCUUAUUGCAGCAAAAAUUCCCGUACCAAUGUCAGUGCUAGGAUGGAGUUUCACUGUGUCACCCAGGCUGGAGUGCAGUGGCACGAUCUCAGCUCAAUGCAACCUCUGUCUCCUGGGUUCAAGCAAAUCUCCUGCCUCAGCCUCUUGAGUAGCCUGAGUAGCUGGGACUAAAGUUUACCAGGCUGUUACUCAAAAUUCACUCUCCAGCCCUGCUUUGGAGCAGUUGGGAACUUCAGCAUUUUGAUCCACCUUUUUGGAGCCACCUCAUGUGAAAGAUGGAUGAGACCUUCGUCAGCAAACCUGUAUGAAAGUUUUCAAGACGCCUACAAGUGGAAAAUGCACUCCUCCCAGCCAAAUCAAGCUUCGCCAGAUUCCUUACAGCUGUGUGCAGUGAAAUGACUAAUGAAAGAGCCCUCUGCUGCUGGUGGAACUUUCACAUAUGGCACUGUUAUGCCACUCAGCAGGACCCGACCCUGGUAUUUACAUAUUGGAUGUCACCCCAAAAGCCCCUGACCAGGGGGUUUCCGGGAUGUAAUAAGAAUGCCACUCUGGGCUUUGGAAGGUGCACCGUAUGCACACCCAUACUAUAGGGCAGGGGUUAGCAUUUCAGACCCCUGUUCCUCCCUUGACAAGCAAGUGCUUUUCUCCAGGGAAGACGUUCAGGUUCAUUCAUAGAUCCAUUGGUGCCGUGGGCAGCUCAGUAACAAUAGCUCUGCUGCCUACCAGCUGCUGGUGGAGGUGUUGAGAAUACCUAAUGAGGAAGUCAGGGCCCCUGCGUGCUUCAGCAGAGCUGGAUGCCUGGCAUGGCAAUCAAUGGACACAAACCUUUGGAUAAUUUCCGUCCUUGGCGGUGUGUUCUAUAGCAUAGGUAUGAAGUGGGUGCUCUGGGAGCUCAGAAGAGGGGCUCUUCUCUUAACUUAUGGGUGGCCAGGGAAGGCUUCCUGGAGCUCAAAUGACUGAGUGGAGUCUUCAACAUUAAAAAAAAAAAAAAGAAAAAAAAAGUGCUUCCCUCCCACCCCCAGUUAAAAAGGUAAUACACCUCAUUGAAAUAAUUUAAACUUUACAGAAAUGUGUUCCUUUAAAGUUCAGAGAGUAAAGAGGAAGUAAUAAAGCUGAAAUAGUAGAAUUUCUAAUUAA